CUUGACGACCAUAGAACAUUGGAACCACCUGAUCCCAUCCCGAACUCAGCAGUGAAACGAUGUAUCGCCGAUG
rnacentral:rRNA from 1 species